CACUGCUACCAGAAUCCGACUAAGCCAUGCGAGUACCUUGGGUUUCCUUCUCGGAAACCUGAGGUGCGAACUGCUCAGUAAUACAUAGUCAACCUGCCCUCAGGACCCCCAUAAUCUCGGGGAACUGAGGAUAAAGGGGGAUAGGAUAGGUGUUCUGGAAAGAGCCUAUCCGAAAACCUGAGGAUGGGACUAUGUCCGAUUAGGUUGUUGGUGGGGUAACGGCCCACCAAGCCGAUAAUCGGUACGGGCCAUGAGAGUGGGAGCCCGGAGAUGGACUCUGAGACAUGAGUCCAGGCCCUACGGGGCGCAGCAGGCGCGAAACCUUUGCAAUGCGCGCAAGCGCGACAGGGGGAUUCUGGGUGCUCUCUUGUUAAAAACAAGAGAGCUUUUGCCGAGUGAAAAAAGCUCGGCGAAUAAGUGGUGGGUAAUACGGGUGGCAGCCGCCGCGGUAAUACCCGAGCCACAAGUGGUGACCGCGAUUAUUGGGUUUAAAGCAUCCGUAGCCGGCNUGAUAAGUUCCUGGUUAAAUCUCNUGCUAAACAGGAGGCCGCCAGGAAUACUAUCAGGCUAGGGAUCGGGAGAGGUCAGAGGUACUCUCAGGGUAGGGGUGAAAUCCUUUAAUCCUGAGAGGACCACCAAUGGCGAAGGCAUCUGACUAGCCCGACUCCGACGGUGAGGGAUGAAAGCUAGGGGAGCGAUCGGGAUUAGAUACCCCGGUAGUCCUAGCCGUAAACGAUGCCCGUUAGGUGUU
rnacentral:rRNA from 1 species